UGUGGCCUUUUACAGCGAAAUUAGGACACAAGUGGUUUUGCGGUUCUUCAUUCUUGUGCGGCUCUGUGAACCUGCCUGCAAUGCUCAGGGCAAAUAUGCGAAGUGCAUUUAUUAUUUUUGGCAUGGUACUUCUCACUAAAAUUGUGGCUGGCUCGAAAUUAGGACACAAGUGCUUGUUCAGUUCUUCAUUCUGGUGCGGCUCUGUGAACCUGCCUGCAAUGCUCAUGGCAAAUAUGAGAUCUGCAUUUAUUAUUUUUGCCAUGGUACUUCUGAAUAAAAAUGUUGCUGGCUCACGCAAAGAACCCCAGCUUGACCAAGACGGCUGUGUGCUGUGCGAUUGCCGCGGCGGGUAUUUCCGCGGCUGCGACCUGAACAAAGACACUGACUGCGUGUGCCUUACGGGAAAGACUCGGCGAGGAUACGAUGGACCAUGCAUAUCGCAUUCCGAAUGUUAUCCCUGAGUUUUAGCGAGCAUUACAUAUUAUACUUUUCGGAAUAAAUAAAAACAAAUUAAAUACCAAGACAAA